rnacentral:tRNA from 1 species
UCCCGUGUAGCUCAGUUGGUAGAGCAUGGCAUUUGCAACGUCAGGGUCAGAGUUGUGUGUUCGAUUCCCACGGGGA